AGACUAGGGUGGACCCAUUACUGUUGUAGAUUAUUGAAGACUAGGGUGGACCCAUUACUGUUGUAGAUUAUUGAGGAUUAGGGUGGACCCAUUACUGUUGUAGAUUAUUGAGGACUAGGGUGGACCCAUUACUGUUGUAGAUUAUUGAGGACUAGGGUGGACCCAUUACUGUUGUAGAUUAUUGAGGACUAGGGUGGACCCAUUACUGUUGUAGAUUAUUGAGGACUAGGGUGGACCCAUUACUGUUGUAGAUUAUUGAAGACUAGGGUGGGCCAUUACUGUUGUAGAUUAUUGAGGACUAGGGUGGACCAUUACUGUUGUAGAUUAUUGAGGACUAGGGUGGACCCAUUACUGUUGUAGAUUAUUGAGGACUAGGGUGGACCAUUACUGUUGUAGAUUAUUAAAGACUAGGGUGGACCCAUUACUGUUGUAGAUUAUUGAGGACUAGGGUGGACCCAUUACUGUUGUAGAUUAUUGAGGACUAGGGUGGACCCAUUACUGUUGUAGAUUAUUGAGGACUAGGGUGGACCAUUACUGUUGUAGAUUAUUAAAGACUAGGGUGGACCCAUUACUGUUGUAGAUUAUUGAGGACUAGGGUGGACCCAUUACUGUUGUAGAUUAUUGAGGACUAGGGUGGACCCAUUACUGUUGUAGAUUAUUGAAGACUAGGGUGGGCCAUUACUGUUGUAGAUUAUUGAGGACUAGGGUGGACCAUUACUGUUGUAGAUUAUUGAGGACUAGGGUGGACCCAUUACUGUUGUAGAUUAUUGAGGACUAGGGUGGACCAUUACUGUUGUAGAUUAUU